CCUCUAGCUAUGAUAUUUAUUAGAUUUAGCAUAGUUAGUCUUUUAUGUCUAGGAUCUAACUUAUGGCCUUAGUAUUUGUUGGCUGAUUGACUUAUGGAUAGUUGUAUUUUUUGUUACCCAUGAUUUUUGUAUGGCCUAUGUAUUUUGACUUGACUCUUAUGUAUUGUGACACUUAAGUAUUCAAUCAUAUUUUGGAUACAUAUAUAUAUAUAUAUAUGCUUUUAACUUCUAUGAAUGUCAUU
rnacentral:lncRNA from 1 species